GAUGAACGCUGGCGGCGUGCCUAAUACAUGCAAGUCGAGCGAACGGACGAGAAGCUUGCUUCUCUGAUGUUAGCGGCGGACGGGUGAGUAACACGUGGAUAACCUACCUAUAAGACUGGGAUAACUUCGGGAAACCGGAGCUAAUACCGGAUGAUAUUUUGAACCGCAUGGUUCAAAAGUGAAAGACGGUCUUGCUGUCACUUAUAGAUGGAUCCGCGCUGCAUUAGCUAGUUGGUAAGGUAACGGCUUACCAAGGCUACGAUGCAUAGCCGACCUGGGAGGGUGAUCGGCCACACUGGAACUGAGACACGGUCCAGACUCCUACGGGAGGCAGCAGUAGGGAAUCUUCCGCAAUGGGCGAAAGCCUGACGGAGCAACGCCGCGUGAGUGAUGAAGGUCUUCGGAUCGUAAAACUCUGUUAUUAGGGAAGAACAUAUGUGUAAGUAACUGUGCACAUCUUGACGGUACCUAAUCAGAAAGCCACGGCUAACUACGUG
rnacentral:rRNA from 1 species